CAUUAUAGUAAGUUACUAACAUGCCCUCUCUCCAUCUCUCUGAUGCAGGAUUUUAUACACAAAGAGAAUGCUGAGAAAUAGCAACAGCUAACCUUGUUUUUGUCUGUACUCUGCUCUCUAUACAAAUGGACAUACAUAUCCACGAUAUCUUUCGAUCUGUAAAGAUGGAGGAAUUUUCCUGAUUUACCUAAGUGAAGAAGUAGGCCUUUAAGGCUCAUGUCAGCAUUUCAGGAGUGAUAAAUAAGCUGGUUUGCAGUACUUCAUGCAUGCAUUUUAAUGAUUAGAAGGGACUAUAAUUCUUCCUAGCCUUCCCCAAGUUCCACAGGAGUGAAGUCAUGGGCAUGAGACUACAUUAUCGGGUUCUUGGGAUCUCAUUUAAAGUUUUGAAUAUACACAUAGAGAUUGCAACAUAACAAGGGAACUUCCUUAAAAGAUUCUGAACUGGGGCCUUUUCUUCACACUGCACUGCUUCGUCCAGCAUUGCUACAAGGGGAGCUAUCUCGUCUUACUGCAACUUAAUAUGCCACAUUUGGUUGGUAGCCACUAGUGCCUACCAUUUUCUGCAGUGAAACAGAGGACAGAAACAAACUGAUCAUGGUAACCCACGGCAGGCCAGCCUCUAAAGGUGCUCACACCAACUCAAGACCUGCUCAUCUUAACUCCCUUGGUGUAGUAACUUUCACAUGUCUAACAUGUUUCUGUUUCAGUAUUUCAUUUUGCCUCCUCCAGUUUUGUAGACA
rnacentral:sRNA from 1 species